UACGGAGGGGGCUAGCGUUGUUCGGAAUUACUGGGCGUAAAGCGCGCGUAGGCGGACCUGCAAGUCGGGGGGUGAAAGCCCGAGGCUCAACCUCGGAACUGCCUUCGAUACUGCGGGUCUCGAGUCCGGGAGAGGUGAGUGGAAUUCCUAGUGUAGAGGUGAAAUUCGUAGAUAUUCGGAAGAACACCAGUGGCGAAGGCGGCUCACUGGCCCGGUACUGACGCUGAGGCGCGAAGGCGUGGGGAGCGAACGGGG
rnacentral:rRNA from 1 species